rnacentral:rRNA from 1 species
UGCCAGCAGCCGCGGUAAUACGGAGGGGGCAAGCGUUGUUCGGAAUUACUGGGCGUAAAGCGCACGUAGGCGGACUGAUCAGUUGGGGGUGAAAUCCCGGGGCUCAACCCCGGAACUGCCUCCAAAACUAUCAGUCUAGAGUUCGAGAGAGGUGAGUGGAACUCCGAGUGUAGAGGUGAAAUUCGUAGAUAUUCGGAAGAACACCAGUGGCGAAGGCGGCUCACUGGCUCGAUACUGACGCUGAGGUGCGAAAGUGUGGGGAGCAAACAGGAUUAGAUA